AUGUUGGGAGAAGGUAGGUGCGGAGCGGCAGGGGGAGUCAGGGGAAGCCGAGGCAAGGCAAAGACUGCUUUUCCCACACCUGUGACUGCCUUGAGCUGGAGGGCUGGUGAGAAUCACAAAGUCCCCUGUGUGGCCACAGGGAAGAGCACAGCGGACCCCUGUCAGCCCCCUAACUUCCUGGCUGUGCAACCCCGCGCCAGUCACCUAGGCCUCUCAGGGCCCCAGUUUCCCCAGCUGGAAACUGGUGACCAAGGAAGGCGCAAACCCAUGCAUUCCGCUCCUCACGUGCCAGGCGUCACUGGUAGACUCCUCUGGGCAACGACGCUAGGAGGCAAGUGUUUUUGUGGUACACGAAUCCUGGGCUGCAAGAGGAGUAGGGAGGGCGCCGCUGGGGUGGUGGGUGGGGCUGCUCACCUGAGCUGGGUCACCUGUCAUGGGAACAGGACUUACCUUUCCAUUUCUUCUCAUUCCGAGUCUGUCUGUUCUUGUGCAGGNNNNNNNNNNNNNNNNNNNNNNNNNNNNNNNNNNNNNNNNNNNNNNNNNNNNNNNNNNNNNNNNNNNNNNNNNNNNNNNNNNNNNNNNNNNNNNNNNNNUCCAUUUCUUCUCAUUCCGAGUCUGUCUGUUCUUGUGCAGGGUGCUGGGCUGGAUGUGGGGGAUGGUUUAUAGACUCUGAAGCUUUCCUGCACCGCCCCUGCUCCCCCUGACCUUGAGGAACUUCCUCAUGAGGGGUGGAAGCAGGUGUGCAGGUCCAACUAAUCCAGGGUUCAUAUUUGGCCCCAGUUGCUGUGUGACUUUGGGCUAGUUGCUUCACUUCUCUGAACUUUGGUUUGCCCAUCUGUGAAAUGGGGCUCAUAAUCCCUACUGGUAAGAUGUUCAUGAAGAGAAAUGAGGCCAGGUGCAUAUAUUAAGCACAUGCACCCUCUGUGGGAGCUAUAACUGUUGCUCAGGGUCAGGGGGAAAAAAAAAUCCCAUUGUGUCCCUACUGGUGGCUUAGCAGCCUCAGUCUCCUCAUCUGUAGAUGGAGGCAGUAGAAUGUGCUUCCCAGGGUGGCCUAGUGGGUUCCAUGAAGUCUGGUAGAAGGGGCCCACUGGAGUGACGGGAGACGGUUGUGGCCCCUUGCCCCCGGAAAUGACAACCCAGUGGAGGUAGAUCCCCAAGAAGGGACUUCCCANNNNNNNNNNNNNNNNNNNNNNNNNNNNNNNNNNNNNNNNNNNNNNNNNNNNNNNNNNNNNNNNNNNNNNNNNNNNNNNNNNNNNNNNNNNNNNNNNNNAGUGGAGGUAGAUCCCCAAGAAGGGACUUCCCACUUCAGAACAGGCGGGUGGUUGGCAGGAGGUGGCCUUGAAGGGGAGGCAGUAUUUGAGCUGCCAGAGCUUGCUGAGCAUGUCCCUGUCCUGUGGCUCGCAGGAAUCUGUCUAUAAUAGUACCUGGUACCCAGAAGGUGCUUCAUGAAAAGUACUGCUUGUCCUGACUGGCUGGUCAAGUAGUUGCUGGCUGGGCAGAGCUGUGGAAGAGUGUUCCAGGAAGCAGGAAUAGCACGUGCAAGGCCUGGAGGGAAUCCACAAAGGAUUCAGUGUGGGAGGAGCAUGUGGGCUGGGCAGCUGGGGGCCUCAGUGGGUGGUCCUGCUCUCAGACACAAGCUUGGGGACAGGAAUAAUUGAGCAGGGUGAGUCAGGGUGGCUGAGAGGGUGACGCUAGAGGGCAGGUGGCUUGAUGGAUGGAGCGGUGACAGGGGCGUUCCAGCCCUGGGCUGAGGAGGAGGCUGCUCUUCCCAGGAUUGGGCUGUCAGCCUCUGUUCAGGUGUAGGCGACAACAGUGAGGGCCUGGGGCUGGCAGGGUGGGAACUAGGCUGUUGCAAGAAGCUGGCGCGUGGCCUGUGGUCGAGAUGUCUGAUCGCUGUAAGCCAACCAUGGCUGCCAGCCGGUCAAUGCCGGGGGAGGGAGCUGGGCCCUGCCAAGCCAGCCAGUCUGCAGUGAGACGCAGCUCUGUAGGCAUUGGGCCACCAGCCUGCCAGCUCCCUCGGAGGCUUUUGUGUUCAUUUCCUUUCUGCUGGUUCCUCUGUUUGCUGGUAACUCAUGACCAGCCCCAACAGGGGUCUCGGCAGAAUGACUGGGGUCGGGGGGCAAGGAGUUUCAGAGAUCCAGGGAACGGCAGACAGGAACUCAGAGCAUGCUAUUUCUAAUAACAAAAGUACUCUGAGUUUAUUGUAGAAAAUUUGGAAAAUACAAACAGAUCCUGAGUGAGAAAUGAAAAACCACUUGUAAUCCCACCACCCAGAGAGAGCCCCCUGGGAACCUUUAGUAGAAUUCAGUGUUUAGAAAUACACUUUGGUAUUGAGUUCAUUACCAAAUGAACUUUUGGUAAUGUUCAUUACCAGGAUCAAGUUCUACGUAUUUUUUCUUUAACCUAUUUUUUAAACUUAAUGAUGAUCAUAGUACUAACAGCCAACAUUUACUGAGUAAUUCAUUAAUGUGUGGGCACCCUAAGUCUGUUACAGUGAACCCCACGAGGUGGUUAUUAUCUUUGUGUAGGAAAACCAGGCUGACAGAGUUAAGUACCUGUCCAAGGUCACCGAGGUAUUGAGAGACAGAACUGUUCGUAUGAUCCUAUCAACAGUCAUGCCGCAUUGCCUCCUGACAACCAGAGUGUACAUUUCCCCAUGCCCUUGCAUAUUCUUUGAAAUGAGUUAAAAAAAACCCUUUUGUUAUGCAUUUAUGCCUUUUAACAACCUGAUUAGACAGUGUGGAUUUGUGAAAACACAGUUAUUGAGAGCUGCAUAAUAUUCCAUGUCAUGGUUGUGCCCUAAGUUCUUUAACUAGUCCCAUGAUGUUGGGAAAGUAGCUUAUUUCCCCACUUUCUCUCUUAUAAAUAACACUGCCCUGGCUCUCUUUGACCCAAGGGCUGAAUUCUUGGGCACCCAGAGUGUCUGAAUCAGAAAGGCGGCUUAGAGCUCCAAGCCCUGGUUCAUUUCCAAAUGAGACUUGGAAAUGCAGAGACAGAGGUAGGGGGUUAGGGGGUCGGGGGUAGCUUGUCUGGGUCUGGGAGGCUGUGGGCACCUGAGCCAGGAUGCUGCCCACUCUCUGGUCCAGUGUAGAUGAGGAAUAUUGCCAUCGUGGGGAGGGGGUUCUGGGGAGGAUGGUUGGGAGUGCAGGGGUGGGUAGUGGAGAAGGGGAUGGAGCUGAUGGAGUGCGGCUCUGGGGGGGUGGGGAGACUCUGCUGUCAGAAUGUCUUUGCAGAGCAGUUGGCUGAGAGGGGCCCUCUAGGCUACCCUUGCGGGAGAUUUGGGGGCAAGUGUUUGGAAUAAGGGAGGUGGGGAGAUGUGUGGGGGACCGGGUGUGUGUCUGGGCUGUGCUGGUUGUUUGUAGAGGGGCCUUCUCAGCCCUUGUGCCCCCUUCUCCUCCCCCAGGCCCCUCUGCUCCCCGGGACUUGGGGUCCGUAGACCCUUCCCACCGACGCAGCCUCUGUGCCCCGCACCCCUCCGGCAGCCAGUAAAUGUGGCGGCUGCUGGGUCUCCAGCCAGAGCAGCUGUGGACGGUGGCGGGGUGGAGGCCGAGGUGUCCCCCUUCCCGGGUCUGGACUCCCCAUUGUGUUGCCCCCUUGGCUGUCCUGCCGCCCAGAGCCUGGCCCCGGCCCACAUUCCUGUGGUGACGCUCCGGGUCUCCGGGCUGGAGCUGGUGAGCGUGAGGGGCAUUGAGUUCUCACAGGACUGAGGGCCUUUUGGGGACGGGGGGUGGUGGUGGGGUGCUGGUGGGGAUGGAGCCUCUGGGGAUCUAGAGGGCUCUGCGGAGACCACCCUGCUUCCGGGAGCGGGUGUGAAGUCCCACUGUGUGUCACUGGACUGAUCGCUUCACCUCUGAAUGCUGCGUUGUAGUAGGCUAAUUCCCCACCACCCUCUCAUCCCCUUUCUGAGCCUCCGUGUCUGCCUCUGUAAGAAGGGAGAGUGAACUUAGUGAUCACUCAGGCCUGAAGGUGGGGUCGGGGUUGUGGGAUGUACCGCAGUAAUAGUAACAAAUGGUUAAGUGCCAGCUGUGUGCUGAGCAACAAGAGUGCUUUUGGUGCAUUAUGUUACUUGAUUCUCAAAACAGCUCCAUGAAAAAUAUAGUAUUAUUUAACCAAACAGAGGCUCAGAGAGGUUGAGUAACUUGCCCAGGGUCACCCAGCAAGUAAGCAGAGCUGGGCUUGAACCCAAGUCCAGCUUGGGUUCAAGAACCCAAAGUUGGGCCCCCAACCAUUGCUCACAUGCCCUCUAGUCACAGGAGAGGGCAGCCCAAGUCUGGCUAAUGUGGGGAAGGAAGCGCGGGCAGAAUUAAUUACACUUGAUUUUAUUCUUAGUUUCUGCAGCAUGAUUAGCACUGCGCAGGGUGCUGGGCUCCUGGCCCCCUGCCAGCUGACCUAAUUUGUGUGUCUGUCUCUGUAGCUCGCCCUUCCUCCCCGCUCCCCCAGCAUCUCCUUUUCUCUCUGUGCGCUCCCCUGCUGUGUGGCUUUGGCAAGCCCACUUAGGCUCUCUGGGCAUGAAUAGUGGCCUCUGCAGCCUGGGUGUAACUGUCUUGAUUCUGCUCCCUUCAGGAGUUCAGUGAGGCUUACGUGAGAUAAAAUCUUCAGAAUUCAUAAUGGAAAUAUUAACAUCCACCUAGCAAUAAUCCCAGCUACAUUUCUUUAUUCAGCUCCCAGUGUUGGGUCCUGUCCUUAAGCCUAUUACAUGCAUGAUCUUCUUUGAUCCUCACAGCACCCCUGCGAGUCACAUACUGCAGUUGUCAUCCCCAUUUUACAGAUGAAAAAACUGAGGUGCCAAGAGAUUCAAUGGCUUGCCUGAUGUUCGAUGGGUAGUGAGGGGAGGAGCUGAUUCAUUCUGGUUUAACCUCUGUGUUAUCCUGUUUCUCUGGGCAGGCUCGUGAUGAGGUGGGGGGGCAGGUAGGGGGUUGCUGGGCAUGAGAGAUUCUAGACUUCUGGUCUCCAAGGAAGGCUUGGAAGGAGGCUGGGGACCGCAGGAAGGAGAUGCCUUGCUUUUCUGCCUGAACACGUCCCCUCCUCCCAACCCCACUAGAGAGGGACGGUGGUGGAAGUUACCCACCCCAGUGGCUCUAAAACCCUAUGGAGAGGAUCAGGUAGGGGUGGAGAGAGCCAGUGGCUGGCAGCUCACGUCACUGCUGGUCCCAUCGGGGCAGGGAGCCUGAGUUACUUCUGUGGGUCAAGGCUGUAGGUCAGCAUAAAGUAAGAUGGUGACAAGGCGGAAGUGAGGAAAAAUGGCAGGGGGUAUGUCCAUUGGGAAAGGUGCCACGUCUCACCUGGCGUGUGUGUGCUUGUAUGUACCCUGGAGGGAAAGUGUGUGUGGUGUGUGCAUGGUGCGCGUGUGUGGAGGGGAGUGGAGGCAGGUGUCAGGGGCCUGUAGCUGGUUGUCUGAGUGGGGGCAUGUAUGUGUGGUGCCGUGGGUGCCUUUUCAUGGACGCAUGGGUGGAGCUUGUAGGCAGUGGGUAUUUGGGAGCAUUUGGGUGUUUGCCAUGUGCCAGCGUGUGUAUGGUGUGGGUGGGUGGUAGUUCUGAGCUGAGGUUGUUCAGGGGCUGUGGGUCACAGGUUUAGGAACUCUAGAUGAGCAGCAGAUUGGGGGCGACCUGGAAGGUUUGGAGGAAGGACCCAGAGGCUGAGGACCCACGGUCAUGUCUCAG
ensembl:lncRNA